rnacentral:sRNA from 1 species
UUUCUUUUUCAUUUCCCUCAAGUGUCGAAUUGUCCAAGAAUUCCUCAGUCCUUGGCAAUUCCAACUAAGGAUGCCUUAUUGAUACUGCGGUGGUUCUUGAGGAACCACCGUAAUGACAGCCUUUUCCAUACAAUCCACUCUUUCCAAGUCUGCAAUUUCCUUUUUUCGUUUGAUAGCAUUAGCAAACUCAACAUUAAGACUAACCUCUUUUUCUUUUGAACCAUCACGAGCUGCUUGCUUAUUGUGAACUAUAGAAGCCUUUCUUUUUCUUGGAUUCUUCUGCUUAAUACUUAAUCCUGAUGCCCCCGAUUCAUUAAAUCCAAAAGGGAACCCUUCCGAAUCUAUUGAAGAUGCUUGAUCAGCGGAUAAAGAAGGUAACUUGGUAGGAACAAUCUUCUCUCCUGGAUUCACUAAACAACUCUUUCCAUCAAGAAAUCCUGAAUCAGAAAAACUAAGAUCUUUCUUUGAUUCUUUAGAGUUUCCGAGGCUAACAAAGGGGCAAACACUUUUCUCAUGUGUGAGUCGUUGACAGAGGAAACAUCUUUUUCGAAUCCUUUCAUAAUCAAAGGAAACUGAAAUCAAUUCACCCGAUGGAAUCAGGACUUCCUUAAAGUUACGCAAGGGAUUCCGAACAUCAAAGAGCACUUGAACCCUGAUAUAAUUUUGUGCCUGAGAUUUUUCUAAAUCUAAUUCCACAGUCAAUACUUUCCCAACACAUCCUGCAAUUUCUUUGAUAGUAUCUUCUGUGUAGUAGUUGAUCGGAAUAUUUCGGAGUCUUAUCCAGACUGGAAGAAACAAAAGAGAAUCAUCUGAAGGUUUUUCCACCCAACGCUCCAUCAAAACACACCACUCAUCCUGAGUCCAAACUCCAGAUUUUAAGAUUUCAAUUAAAUCUUCUUCUGAUUUGAAAAAGAAUUGAAAUCUCUCUUGGGAUAAAGCAACACCUCUUACCCUUGAAUACAACCUCCAAAUUCUAGGCAUGUCUAAUAUCCAAUUAGACAUCCUUUGGAGUGACAGAUUCAAAAACCUAUCCACUAAACUGCAAUUAUUUCUGUCAAUCGAGCAAAACUGCGCUUGAUUAGACAAAAUAAGAGGCUAUCUUCGUUAAUUGACAUUUCCUUUAUCGCUUGAUCCAAGUCCAUGUUCAUCUCCACUGAUAGAAGAAGAAAGCACUUUCCUGAUACCUAAACUUGGUGAAUAUAUCUUUGCCGACAGAAAACGGGGAUAUCUUCGGUACUUACCUCCUCUCAAAUAUCAAAAAACUGAUGUAGAGGGAGAAGUUCUUAUGGUCAAAUCGAUUGGGACGGCUUUAUUAACGGCGAAGGAGAAAUUUUCCAGAAAAGCUACUAUGAAAGAGAACAGAGAGUUUUUUU